GGUAAAUUUUAAUUUCAAAAUAUCAAUUUGGCUGGCAUUGCAUGUUGUUCCAAUUAACAUAAAACUGACUUUUGCAAAGAUUUAUUGGAAAAAAAUUUUG